UCAGUCUCAACCUUGCGGAGAUACCUGAUAAAACUUGGAUUUAAGCUUAAGAUGGUUAACAAAAGAGCUGCUGUAAUGGAAUUGCCAGGUGGUGUAUAGAAUAUUUGAGGAAAAUUUAAAAAAUUUGGGAGGAAGAAAGAUCCAUAUAUUAUUUAGCCGAAACAUGAUAUGAUACAUUUAUGAUUGAUGUAUGAUUUCCAUUCUCUGGGAAAAAAGUCCCUUUUUUGCCAUAGUAAGAAAACCAUAUUUUUAUUAAUAAAACAAGUUUAAAAUUUUGUUUUUUACAGCUUACUGCCCCUGUUGUCCUUCAGUGAUACAAUAAAGACUGCUUCUUCCACCAUUCUCUGGGAAAAACACUUUUUUGCUAUGCUUACUACCCCUGUUGUCCUUCAGCAACACAAUGAAGACUGCUUCUUCCUCCAUUCUCUGGAAAAAAGUCCCUUUUUUGCCAUACUUACUGCCCCUGUUUGUCCUUCAGCGACACAAUAAAGUAUAUAUAAUGUAAUGCUUUAGUAUCCAUAUGCUGAUGUGCGAGAUGAAGUUGGAAUCCAUGGCGGCAACAGAGAAACUGUUUCCUUCCUUAAUGGAAGAAUCUGCUAAAGAACAAUGGCAAAAAAACAGAAUUUACAACAUUUGUAUUAACU